rnacentral:lncRNA from 1 species
GAAUGCUAAACAGGAAGGAGAGUUAAUGAACCCUAAAAUAUGCAACAACAUAAGGCACAUCUCAUAAGCAUAAGACUAAGUAAAAGAAACAAGACCCGUUGGGGUACAUCAUUUAUGAAUCCGCUUAUAUAAAACUGAUAAAUCAUGUAAACUAAUCAAUGAUAUUGGCUAAAUCAGGAUGGUGGUUUCUCUUGAGGGAAUGGGGUGGGGUCAGUGACGACAUGGUAUUUUUACUUUGUAUAUAUUAUAUUUCCAAUGAGCACUUCUCUGUGUGUAUGUAAUUUUUCAACAAAUUCAGUUCAAUACAACGUUGAGAAAACAAGUAACGGGUCAUCAAUUUAUGACUUUGCCACAGAUGAGAUAUGCACCUGGGCCUUUGGCAAAGAUUCUGUGUUGCUAAGUGCAUCAAAAAAGAUUUGAAUAGAAAGCCUGGUUAUGAAUAUGCGCUUUUUUCUUGUGCAAAGAGAUCCACAGAAAAUAAGAGCAUCUCCCAUAAAUCUGCAUAAAAAACUUCCUGGGAUGGGAGAAGGAAAACCUAGCUGGUUCUAUCUGUGACCCCCUCAGCAGGGUUUUUGUUUCCUGAGCCCUGCUAGAAGCUCAUAGAAAAUCUUCUGAUUGUCUCAAACCCAGAACAAGGCACUGUGAUGCCACUGAAAUAAAGAGCAGGAGUGAAAGAGGAAAGAUGGACCUGACUUAUGUGAAAAAUGCUUUCUGUUAUCACAUAUUGACCUCAGUGACCUCCGAGGGCUGCCAGAAUGAUGCUCUGAGAAAGCCCCAGUGCAAGGCUUACUCAUGAUACACCAGUGUCAGUUCAGAGAACUCAGAGUGGUGGUGCAGAAAGUGCUCAGAUCACCAUGGGCCUCUUUCCAGUGAAAUGUCAGGCUGCACGUGCCUCAGUAUUUUGUACUUAUACACAUGUAUACAUUAUUUGUUAGUUUAUUCAACAGAUGCGGGGGUCUACAUUGUAUAAGUCAUUUAUCGAGAAAGCAAAAUGGAAUCUAAUGCCACUGUUGGAAAUGAACUCUAUUUUCAGUUCUCUUGGGAUGCAUGUCAUGCUACCAAUAUUCUUCUUCUCCAGUGCCAAAAAUCUGCAAGUGAAAAACUGUAUGCUCAAUUAAGCCCAGAAAACCAGACUAGAGCUCCCAGACUGUACUGCUCACAGUCUGUAUACUUUGUGCCAAGACAAGUUAAGUUCAUUACCUUCUAG